GGGUUGUGAGGUUAAGUGACUAAGCGUACACGGUGGAUGCCUAGGCAGUCAGAGGCGAUGAAGGGCGUGCUAAUCUGCGAAAAGCGUCGGUAAGGUGAUAUGAACCGUUAUAACCGGCGAUACCCGAAUGGGGAAACCCAGUGUGUUUCGACACACUAUCAUGUCAUGAAUACAUAGUGGCAUGAGGCGAACCGGGGGAACUGAAACAUCUAAGUACCCCGAGGAAAAGAAAUCAACCGAGAUUCCCCCAGUAGCGGCGAGCGAACGGGGAGGAGCCCAGAACCUGAAUCGGCUUGUGUGUUAGUGGAAGCGUCUGGAAAGUCGCGCAGUAAAGGGUGAUAGCCCCGUACACUAAAAUGCACAGGUCGUGAGUUCGAUGAGUAGGGCGGGACACGUGACAUCCUGUCUGAAUAUGGGGGGACCAUCCUCCAAGGCUAAAUACUCCUGACUGACCGAUAGUGAACCAGUACCGUGAGGGAAAGGCGAAAAGAACCCCGGCGAGGGGAGUGAAAUAGAACCUGAAACCGUGUACGUACAAGCAGUGGGAGCACCUUCGUGGUGUGACUGCGUACCUUUUGUAUAAUGGGUCAGCGACUUAUAUUUUGUAGCAAGGUUAACCGUAUAGGGGAGCCGUAGGGAAACCGAGUCUUAACUGGGCGACUAGUUGCAAGGUAUAGACCCGAAACCCGGUGAUCUAGCCAUGGGCAGGUUGAAGGUUGGGUAACACUAACUGGAGGACCGAACCGACUAAUGUUGAAAAAUUAGCGGAUGACUUGUGGCUGGGGGUGAAAGGCCAAUCAAACCGGGAGAUAGCUGGUUCUCCCCGAAAGCUAUUUAGGUAGCGCCUCGUGAACUCAUCUUCGGGGGUAGAGCACUGUUUCGGCUAGGGGGCCAUCCCGGCUUACCAAACCGAUGCAAACUCCGAAUACCGAAGAAUGUUAUCACGGGAGACACACGGCGGGUGCUAACGUCCGUCGUGAAGAGGGAAACAACCCAGACCGCCAGCUAAGGUCCCAAAGUCAUGGUUAAGUGGGAAACGAUGUGGGAAGGCAUAGACAGCCAGGAUGUUGGCUUAGAAGCAGCCAUCAUUUAAAGAAAGCGUAAUAGCUCACUGGUCGAGUCGGCCUGCGCGGAAGAUGUAACGGGGCUAAACCAUGCACCGAAGCUGCGGCAGCGACGCUUAGGCGUUGUUGGGUAGGGGAGCGUUCUGUAAGCCGUUGAAGGUGGCCUGUGAGGGUUGCUGGAGGUAUCAGAAGUGCGAAUGCUGACAUAAGUAACGAUAAAGCGGGUGAAAAGCCCGCUCGCCGGAAGACCAAGGGUUCCUGUCCAACGUUAAUCGGGGCAGGGUGAGUCGACCCCUAAGGCGAGGCUGAAAAGCGUAGUCGAUGGGAAACAGGUUAAUAUUCCUGUACUUGGUGUUACUGCGAAGGGGGGACGGAGAAGGCUAGGCUAGCCGGGCGACGGUUGUCCCGGUUUAAGCGUGUAGGGGGUGUGACCUGGUAAAUCCGGUUGCAUACUAACCCUGAGGCGUGAUGACGAUGCACUACGGUGCAGAAGUAGUUGAUGCCCUGCUUCCAGGAAAAUCCUCUAAGCUCCAGGUAACAUUAAAUCGUACCCCAAACCGACACAGGUGGUCAGGUAGAGAAUACCAAGGCGCUUGAGAGAACUCGGGUGAAGGAACUAGGCAAAAUGGUGCCGUAACUUCGGGAGAAGGCACGCUGGCAUGUAGGUGAAGUCCCUCGCGGAUGGAGCUGAAGCCAGUCGAAGAUACCAGCUGGCUGCAACUGUUUAAUAAAAACACAGCACUGUGCAAACACGAAAGUGGACGUAUACGGUGUGACGCCUGCCCGGUGCUGGAAGGUUAAUUGAUGGGGUCAGCGCAAGCGAAGCUCUUGAUCGAAGCCCCGGUAAACGGCGGCCGUAACUAUAACGGUCCUAAGGUAGCGAAAUUCCUUGUCGGGUAAGUUCCGACCUGCACGAAUGGCGUAAUGAUGGCCAGGCUGUCUCCACCCGAGACUCAGUGAAAUUGAACUCGCUGUGAAGAUGCAGUGUACCCGCGGCAAGACGGAAAGACCCCGUGAACCUUUACUAUAGCUUGACACUGAACAUUGAGCCUUGAUGUGUAGGAUAGGUGGGAGGCUUUGAAGCGUGGACGCCAGUCUGCGUGGAGCCAUCCUUGAAAUACCACCCUUUAAUGUUUGAUGUUCUAACUCGGCCCCGUAAUCCGGGGUGAGGACAGUGUCUGGUGGGUAGUUUGACUGGGGCGGUCUCCUCCCAAAGAGUAACGGAGGAGCACGAAGGUUAGCUAAUCACGGUCGGACAUCGUGAGGUUAGUGCAAAGGCAUAAGCUAGCUUGACUGCGAGAGUGACGGCUCGAGCAGGUACGAAAGUAGGUCUUAGUGAUCCGGUGGUUCUGAAUGGAAGGGCCAUCGCUCAACGGAUAAAAGGUACUCCGGGGAUAACAGGCUGAUACCGCCCAAGAGUUCAUAUCGACGGCGGUGUUUGGCACCUCGAUGUCGGCUCAUCACAUCCUGGGGCUGAAGUAGGUCCCAAGGGUAUGGCUGUUCGCCAUUUAAAGUGGUACGCGAGCUGGGUUUAGAACGUCGUGAGACAGUUCGGUCCCUAUCUGCCGUGGGCGUUGGAAGAUUGAGAGGGGUUGCUCCUAGUACGAGAGGACCGGAGUGAACGCACCACUGGUGUUCGGGUUGUCAUGCCAAUGGCAUUGCCCGGUAGCUAAGUGCGGAAAAGAUAAGCGCUGAAAGCAUCUAAGCGCGAAACUUGCCUCAAGAUGAGUCUUCCCUGGGCCUUCAAGGCCCCUGAAGGAACGUUUAAGACUAAGACGUUGAUAGGCUGGGUGUGUAAGUGCAGCGAUGCAUUGAGCUAACCAGUACUAAUGAUCCGUGAGGCUUAACCUUACAACACCGAAGGUGUUU
rnacentral:rRNA from 1 species